AUUGAACGCUGGCGGCAGGCCUAACACAUGCAAGUCGAACGAGUGGCGGACGGGUGAGUAAUGUCUGGGAAACUGCCUGAUGGAGGGGGAUAACUACUGGAAACGGUAGCUACUACCGCAUACCAUCAGAUGGGCCCAGAUGGGAUUAGCGUGUUGGUGGGGUAACGGAGCACCAAGGGGACGAUCCCUAGCUGGUCUGUGAGGAUGAACAGCCACACUGGAACUGAGACACGGACCAGACGCCUACGGGAGGCAGCAGUGGGGAAUAUUGCACAAGGGGCGCAAGCCUGAUGCAGCCAUGCCGCGUGUAUGAAGAAGGCCUUCGGGUUGUAAAGUACUUUCAGCGGGGAGGCGUUACCCGCAGAAGAAGCACCGGCUAACUCCGUGCCAGCAGCCGCGGUAAUUC
rnacentral:rRNA from 1 species